rnacentral:misc_RNA from 1 species
GAUGAAGAACGCAGCGAAAUGCGAUAUGUAAUGUGAAUUGCAGAAUUCAGUGAAUCAUCGAAUCUUUGAACGCAUCUUGCGCUCCUUGGUAUUCUGAGGAGCAUGCCUGUUUGAGUGUCAUUAAAUUCUCAACUACACUGACUUUGAAUUGGUGUGGCUUGGAUUUGGGGGGAAAAUUGUUGUGGGCUUUUUGUAUAGUCUGCUCCCCUGAAAUUGAUUAGCGGUACCUUUGUGGAACUGUCUACAGGUGUGAUAAUUAUCUACAUCUUAGACAUCUGCUGGAAUGCUGCUUUCUAAACCUUACUUGUAUUGACAAUCUUGACCUCAAAUCAGGUAGGACUACCCGCUGAACUUAAGCAUAUCAAUAAGCGGAGGA